UACAGAGGGUGCAAGCGUUGUUCGGAGUCAUUGGGCGUAAAGGGCGUGUAGGCGGUUUGUUAAGUCAUGUGUGAAAUCCCUCGGCUCAACCGGGGAACGACGCUUGAAACUGGCAAGCUAGAGUACCAAAGAGGGCGGUGGAAUUCCCGGUGUAGCGGUGAAAUGCGUAGAGAUGCGGAGGAACACCGAUGGCGAAGGCGGGUUGCUGGGCUGACACUGACGCUGAUUGUGCGAAAGCUAGGGGAGCGAACGGG
rnacentral:rRNA from 1 species